AUCAUUUACGAGAACUAGAUGCAGCUGAAUAUGAGGAAAUUACCAGAGCUCCACGACUAUCUUUCAGCCUUUCUUUGAGAGAAAAUGAAGCAACUGGUUUAGGAAAUGAGGAAGGGAAAGUCCAAGUUUGUGAUGCGGAAAUGUUAGAUGAGCUAACUACUAGCAGAGGGGAGUUCAAAGAACUGUAAGCUUCCAUGAAGAAAAUCGCAGUCAGAUUUAUCCUGAGGGAAUUGCUGAAGAAGAGUGAAACCAAUAUCAACAUGAAGUCGGAGAAAGUGAAACAAAAGAAAAGAAAAGAUUUUGGAGCUGGUAAGGAAAGAUGAUUAUUGCAAUUUGUAUAGAAUUAUUUUCAACUUUUCUUUUCUUUUUCCAAUUUAUGGAAUUAUUGCUGAUAUGUGAUGGUUUGGUAUUCGUCAUUAGUAGUUGUAGAUGUAAUGACAAAUGCAAACAACUACGAAAUGAUAAAAAAUGUAAAGUUGCAUUGAAAAUUUCUUGAAAAAGGACUGCCUCAAGGUGAAGAUUUUGGCAAAAAAUUUAACAGCAAGUUGCGGUGAGAA